GACGUAGGGUGCGAGCGUUGUCCGGAUUUAUUGGGCGUAAAGAGCUCGUAGGCGGCUCGUCGCGUCGACUGUGAAAACCUGGGGCUUAACCCUGGGCCUGCAGUCGAUACGGGCGGGCGUAGAGUUCGGUAGGGGAGGACUGGAAUUCCUGGUGUAGCGGUGAAAUGCGCAGAUAUCAGGAGGAACACGAUGGCGAAGGCAGGUCUCUGGGCCGCAACUGACGCUGAGGAGCGAAAGCAUGGGGAGCGAACAGG
rnacentral:rRNA from 1 species